rnacentral:rRNA from 1 species
AUUCUGAUUUCUUCGGAAUGAAAAAUUUGGUGACUGAGUGGCGGACGGGUGAGUAACGCGUGGGUAACCUGCCUCAUACAGGGGGAUAACAGUUAGAAAUGACUGCUAAUACCGCAUAAGACCACAGCACCGCAUGGUGCAGGGGUAAAAACUCCGGUGGUAUGAGAUGGACCCGCGUCUGAUUAGGUAGUUGGUGGGGUAACGGCCUACCAAGCCGACGAUCAGUAGCCGACCUGAGAGGGUGACCGGCCACAUUGGGACUGAGACACGGCCCAAACUCCUACGGGAGGCAGCAGUGGGGAAUAUUGCACAAUGGGGGAAACCCUGAUGCAGCGACGCCGCGUGAGCGAUGAAGUAUUUCGGUAUGUAAAGCUCUAUCAGCAGGGAAGAAAAUGACGGUACCUGACUAAGAAGCACCGGCUAAAUACGUGCCAGCAGCCGCGGUAAUACGUAUGGUGCAAGCGUUAUCCGGAUUUACUGGGUGUAAAGGGAGCGUAGACGGAUGGGCAAGUCUGAUGUGAAAACCCGGGGCUCAACCCCGGGACUGCAUUGGAAACUGUUCAUCUAGAGUGCUGGAGAGGUAAGUGGAAUUCCUAGUGUAGCGGUGAAAUGCGUAGAUAUUAGGAGGAACACCAGUGGCGAAGGCGGCUUACUGGACAGUAACUGACGUUGAGGCUCGAAAGCGUGGGGAGCAAACAGGAUUAGAUACCCUGGUAGUCCACGCCGUAAACGAUGACUACUAG